UGGGGAAUAUUGCACAAUGGGCGAAAGCCUGAUCCAGCAAUGCCGCGUGUGUGAAGAAGGUCUUCGGAUUGUAAAGCACUUUCGACGGGGACGAUGAUGACGGUACCCGUAGAAGAAGCCCCGGCUAACUUCGUGCCAA
rnacentral:rRNA from 1 species